rnacentral:sRNA from 1 species
CUGAUUGGUAAUGAGAGAAACAAUUAUACUUUAGAAUCUCUCGGCACAUACAGCGGCACAGCAUCUGAUGGCAUGAGAAAAAGUUUAAAUAGAAAAUUUUCAACCCACGACAAAAAUAAUAAAUUCUGUGCAAAUUUCCUUUCUGGUGCCUGGUGGUAUGAUUAUGAAUGUAAUUCAAGUAAUUUAAACGGGAAGCCAGGAAAGAUUUACUGGAAUGACCGCUGGUAUUCAUAUUCGAAUGUAAUAAUGACAAUUCGCCCCAUGAAUUUAAAUACAAUUAAAAAUAACUAAAUAAUUUGAUAUACAAAUAAAGCUUUUUGCCACUGUUA